CUGCUGUUAUCAAACCUUCAGCGAGUAUAUAAACCGGUCGCCGUAGAAGCCUAAGCAUACAAAGUCGCUGUACUCUCCAAGAUGUUCUUCAAACUGUUUGUAUUCGUCGCCAUCUUUGCGGUUGUGUUUGCCGCUCCAGCUCCCAAUCCCGAAACCAUACUGAUCGAGCAACCCGUCUUUAAAUCGGUGGUCGUCGAACAACCGCUUACCUGGAUGGAUACGUUCUGGUCACCAUCCGUUGUCCUGAUUUAAGCUGUGCCAAUGGCCAUACCUAAUUUGCAAGAUCGCGCCGCUGUUAAUUAAUAAUUUUGUAACGUUUUUAUAAUGUAUGUUUCUUAAUAUUACUGCUUGAUUAAACUGUUUAAUACCUACCAUAA